GAUUAAUGUGUUAUUCAUAUGAACAGUAUUGCAGAUAACCUCCCUGUGGCCACACGGCUGGAGCUUUACCCAAACAAAGAGGAAGGAAUGGAAGAGGAACAGAGGAAGGACACACAGAAGGAUAUCCAGUUUGAGCAUGGCUACAGACUCGGCUUCACCGAAAACAACAAGUUCUAUUUGCACAACCAUCUGUCAUUCAUCCUGUACUACCACAAAGAAAAGGUGGAGGAGGAUGUCGAACACAAUUACAGAGUUGUACGUUUCGAGGUGAUGCCAAAGAGUGUAAAAUUAGAAGCUAUAAAAGCA